ACGGCAGCACGGAGCUUGCUCUGGUGGCGAGUGGCGAACGGGUGAGUAAUAUAUCGGAACGUACCCUGGAGUGGGGGAUAACGUAGCGAAAGUUACGCUAAUACCGCAUACGAUCUAAGGAUGAAAGUGGGGGAUCGCAAGACCUCAUGCUCGUGGAGCGGCCGAUAUCUGAUUAGCUAGUUGGUAGGGUAAAAGCCUACCAAGGCAUCGAUCAGUAGCUGGUCUGAGAGGACGACCAGCCACACUGGAACUGAGACACGGUCCAGACUCCUACGGGAGGCAGCAGUGGGGAAUUUUGGACAAUGGGCGCAAGCCUGAUCCAGCAAUGCCGCGUGAGUGAAGAAGGCCUUCGGGUUGUAAAGCUCUUUUGUCAGGGAAGAAACGGUGGAGGCUAAUAUCCUCUGCUAAUGACGGUACCUGAAGAAUAAGCACCGGCUAACUACGUGCCAGCAGCCGCGGUAAUACGUAGGGUGCAAGCGUUAAUCGGAAUUACUGGGCGUAAAGCGUGCGCAGGCGGUUUUGUAAGUCUGAUGUGAAAUCCCCGGGCUCAACCUGGGAAUUGCAUU
rnacentral:rRNA from 1 species